rnacentral:rRNA from 1 species
GACGUAGGGCGCAAGCGUUGUCCGGAAUUAUUGGGCGUAAAGAGCUCGUAGGCGGCUUGUUGCGUCGACUGUGAAAACCCGUGGCUCAACCAUGUGGUCUGCAGUCGAUACGGGCAGGCUAGAAUUCGGUAGGGGAGACUGGAAUUCUUGGUGUAGCGGUGAAAUGCGUAGAUAUCAAGAGGAACACCUGCGGCGAAGGCGGGUUGCUGGGCCGACACUGACGCUGAUGCGCGAAAGCUAGGGGAGCGAACGGG